UACGGGGGGAGCAAGCGUUGUUCGGAUUUACUGGGCGUAAAGGGCGCGUAGGCGGCGCAACAAGUCACUUGUGAAAUCUCCGGGCUUAACCCGGAGCGGUCAAGUGAUACUGUCGUGCUAGAGUGCGGAAGGGGCUACUGGAAUUCUCGGUGUAGCGGUGAAAUGCGUAGAUAUCGAGAGGGAACACCUGCGGCGAAGGCGGGUAGCUGGGCCGACACUGACGCUGAUGCGCGAAAGCCAGGGGAGCGAACAGG
rnacentral:rRNA from 1 species